UACGUAGGGGGCAAGCGUUGUCCGGAUUUAUUGGGCGUAAAGAGCGUGUAGGCGGCUUGGUAGGUCCGUUGUGAAAACUCGAGGCUCAACCUCGAGACGCCGAUGGAAACCGCCUAGCUAGAGUCCGGAAGAGGAGAGUGGAAUUCCUGGUGUAGCGGUGAAAUGCGCAGAUAUCAGGAGGAACACCAAUGGCGAAGGCAGCUCGCUGGGACGGUACUGACGCUGAGACGCGAAAGCGUGGGGAGCAAACAGG
rnacentral:rRNA from 1 species